GGCUUUAUAGUCAUAAGCUUAUGACAUUAGACUGCAAUUCUAAAGGAGUAUUUUUAUACUAAGGCUU
rnacentral:tRNA from 1 species